GUUUGCUUUAGUUGGAAUGACAAUUGCUGCUUUGCCGAAGUGCGGGCGCUAGUCAGGCAUUGCUAUGGAUACUAUGUGUAUAAGCUGCAGCCGACAGCUUUGGAAUUCAAAGUGAAAGCCAGAUAUUGCGUAGAAAACCGAGCCAUCCCUUAUGAAGAUGCUUUGUUUUACCAACCCGUUACAAAAACUGGUGUGCAGUCAGCAUUGACAAAUCACGCGAUUCACACGGAAUAUCACGUGACAUCUUCAUGGAAGUGUAUGGCCUAUUGCCUCUCGGAGAUGACGUGUGUGUCAUUCAGCUACUUCCCCCAGAGUAACACAUGUGAGCUUAACAACAGCACUGAAUCGAGUAACCCGGAAGGUUUGAGAAAGAGACCUGGGACCGAAUAUUACGAAAAGACAAGUCAUUCAUCAUUCUUAGGUUGAGAAGCUGGUUCAAACAAGAAUGGAAUUAACCGUGAAAUUUCUAGAUGGUAAGAGAGCAAGUUUUCCUAUGCGGAACACUUUGGCAUAGAAUAGUAGUAUUUAUUGUCAAAGCUGCGAUGGAAACAGACUCAUUUGAAGCGGUGUAAGGAAAGCCCUUCAUAGGAUGUUACAUCAACACAACAUUUCACACUUUGUAAAUAUUUUUCUUUUAAUUUUCCGAGUCAGUUUUUCAUUUUUACAGUUUAGACACAGGAUAAGAGAAACAAUUGCACAUAGCAACUAACAACAAAAGUAAAGAAAUCCGAAGGUCUGGAUUAAGUUUAACUACGUUCUAUCCAAGUUUAACCAAACAAAACUCUGAAAUCGGAGUUUUUUGUUUGUUGGUAUUUUUGUCCCUCAUUUCUGGCAAGACGAAUAAAAUGUCUUCUUAUUCGACCUCUAAGAU